GCCCGAGUGGUCUAGUGGUAGAAUACGCCCUUCGGGUCACAUGAUCCGGUCGGAGGAAAUCCGACUCUGUUUGGGCGUGACCCGCGUUCGAUUCGCGGCUCGGGCC